CAGCCGCCGCGGUAAAACGAACCGUGCGAACGUUAUUCGGAAUUACUGGGCUUAAAGCGCGUGUAGGCGGGCCGCCUCGUCGGUCGCUGAAAUCCCCCGGCUCAACCGGGGAAGUGGCAUCGAUACGAGCGGCCUUGAGGGGGGUAGGGGGAUCUGGAACUUCCGGUGGAGCGGUGAAAUGCGUUGAGAUCGGAAGGAACGCCCGUGGCGAAAGCGAGGCCCUGGACCCUUUCUGACGCUGAGACGCGAAAGCCAGGGGAGCGAACGGGAUUAGAUACCCCGGUAGUCCCUGUCUCUUAUA
rnacentral:rRNA from 1 species